CUCACAGAUGUUUUGGUUGCAAAAGAAAACUGCUCACUUGAAUAUAGAAUGUCCAUUAAAUACUUAGCAUUCUUAAUCCUGCUAUUGCUGCUGAUUAUUGUCAACGCUCAAAAAUCACGAGUCUUCUGCAGAGGAAAACGGGGAUGGGGCCAAUGCACCGCCAAUAAUAAGGAAUGCAACCUUCGUCGCUAUAGAGACAAAUUUUGCGGGGCCAACACCAUGUGUUGUGCAAUGUAAGAAAUUAAAUUAAACUUUUGAAAUAAAAGCUUUACUGAUUAGUU